UGGAGAUGUACUCAAGUUGGCUGAAGAGGCGCCCCUGCUAAGGGUGUAGGUCGUUCUGCGGCGCGAGGGUUCGAAUCCCUCCAUCUCCGUC
rnacentral:tRNA from 2 species